rnacentral:rRNA from 1 species
UACGUAGGGUGCAAGCGUUGUCCGGAAUUAUUGGGCGUAAAGAGCUCGUAGGCGGUUUGUCGCGUCUGCUGUGAAAACUCAGGGCUUAACCCUGAGCCUGCAGUGGGUACGGGCAGACUAGAGUGCGGUAGGGGAGACUGGAAUUCCUGGUGUAGCGGUGAAAUGCGCAGAUAUCAGGAGGAACACCGGUGGGCGAAGGCGGGGUCUCUGGGCCGUAAACUGACG